UACGUAGGGGGCGAGCGUUGUCCGGAAUCAUUGGGCGGAAAGCGCGUGUAGGCGGCCCGGUAAGUCCGCUGUGAAAGUCCAGGGCUCAACCCUGGGAUGCCGGUGGAUACUGUCGGGCUCGAGUCCGGAAGAGGCGAGUGGAAUUCCUGGUGUAGCGGUGAAAUGCGCAGAUAUCAGGAGGAACACCAAUGGCGAAGGCAGCUCUCUGGGACGGUACUGACGCUGAGACGCGAAAGCGUGGGGAGCGAACAGG
rnacentral:rRNA from 1 species